rnacentral:rRNA from 1 species
AUGAUCACCAUUUGUGAAAUAUCUUCAUCAAAUCUGCUGGCAUCUCUCCAAGAAGAGAAAGAUCCAAAUAACCCUUUUGUUUUAUGUGAAGCAGAGCUGCCCAACACUCAUCACAUUAGGAUAGUAAAAUCAUUCCAGCUCUAUGUAAUAGAAAGUCUGCAUAACUACAAUUCCAUUCUGGUAUCCAAUUGUUUUGCAAUCAAAGUUGUUAUUCUAGAAACGGUCCAUGUAGCUGCUGCAGUGCCUUGUGUUUCCCUGAUUGCCAAUGAUUCAUGUCCUGUCCUAGUCCUGCCAUUCUUUUUUGCUCUGGUUGCUGAGCUGCAGUUGCAGAGUUCUGUUGGUUGUUGGUUUUUUUUUUUUUGA